UGUUUAUCAAAAACAUGUCCUUUUGUUUAUAAUUUAAGGUCUCGCCUGCCCACUGAGUAGUUAAAUGGCCGCGGUAAUUUGACCGUGCUAAGGNAGCAUAAUCACUAGUUUUUUAAUUGAAAGCUUGUAUGAAUGGUUGGAUGAGAAAAUAGCUGUCUCUUUAAAAUUUUAAUUGAAUUUUAUUUUUAAGUUAAAAAGCUUAAAUUUGUUUAAAAGACGAGAAGACCCUAUAGAGUUUUAUAAUAUUUAAUUUUUGGCGUUUUAGAAUUUUAAUUUUAAAGGUUAAAUUUUUAUUUGAUUGGGGUGAUUGAAAAAUUUAAUAAACUUUUUUUUAAUUUUUACAUAGAUUUAUGAUUUAUUGAUCCAUAUAAAUGAUUAAAAGAUUAAAUUACCUUAGGGAUAACAGCGUAAUUUUUUUUGAGAGUUCUAAUCGAAAAAAAAGUUUGCGACCUCGAUGUUGGAUUAAAGUUAAUUUUUGGUGUAGAAGCUAAUUGAUUAGGUCUGUU
rnacentral:rRNA from 1 species